GCUGGCGUGGUGUAGUGGAAGCAUGGGAGCCUGUGGAGCUUCCGGGUCGGGUUCGAACCCCGGCGUCGGCC
rnacentral:tRNA from 1 species